rnacentral:lncRNA from 1 species
GGAAUAUAUUAUGUUUUAACAUGUUUUAAAGUUUUAAUAAGUAACGUAAAUGUCGUUUAAAGUUAACAUAAAAUCACGAGGCUUGCUCAUUGAUCAUUAAAGCGGUAAUAUAUAUUAUAUUAUAACAAAAUACCAUAAAUUAUACUCUUACUUUCCUUUCAGUUAAAAUACAUUAAUUUUCAGUUUGAACAAAUAAACUAUAUAUGAGAAAACCUUUAUGCAAUACCAUGACUCAGAAUUUCUCUAUCCUCCUUUCUUCUCAUAGAUCACACCCUACUUACUAAUCAAGCCAAAGACCAAGUCCCAUUGAAGCAAAUGUUCAGCUGUCUCCUAUUGGAUUAAUUCAUAAUCCAAAAAUUAAAAAAAAUACAGGCCAGAAAUGAAAAGAAAUAUAUAUAGAGGAGGAGGAGGGAGGGAGGGACCUUUGAGGUAGACAGAUGAGUCAUAAAUAUAAAUCUGGUAUUCUGAUGCCUUAAAUAAUUGUUGGGUAUCCAAAUCUCUCUGCUUUUUAUCUCUACAACAAUCCUUCAAUCACUAUAAAGUCCCAGAGCUUUUGUCACUCCGAUCAUUCCGACAUCUGCUUCCUCCUCGCUCUCUGAUUUUCCGGGAAUCCCAUUUCCUUUUUCUCUCAUUUUCCGGUAUAAAAUCGUGUACUACACAAAAGCAAACUCGGAUAUUCCCGACUCUUUCUGCUCAGCUUUUCUUUCCUUUCGCAAAUUUCGCUUCCUGGGUUUGAUUUCGGCUUAUCGUCUGAUUGAAGUGUCGUGACCUUUGAUCACAGAGAAGAGUUUUCGUGUUCGUGUCGACCGUUUGAGUUUCCUUAAAGGUUAGUUAACAAAACAGAAACAGGAGAGAGAAAAAAGAGUGACCGUUUGUUUGCCCGGAGAAUUGGCCGGAAAUAUAAAUAUCUCGGGUGUACGUAAAGGGAAUUGGUAACGUUGUUGCCAACGAAGACUCUCUGUAAGAGAAGACUGAGUAGUCCCUUUGAACUACCUCUUCCUCCUCCCCCGUGAUUUUUUCGUCAAAAAAUAGAAGUCUUUCUUCCUUCUUCUUCUUCUUCUUCUUUGCCAACGUAGGCCCAUUUCACUUCUGUCUUCAAAGAGAAAUCAAAUCCCGACAAUCAGUCUCUCUCUCUCUCUCUCUCUCUCUCUCUCUCCUCCUCCUCUCUCUUCUUUCUUUUCUUUUCUUUUCUUUUCUUUCUUUCUUUCUUUACUUUUACUUUUACUUUUACUUUUACCUUUUACCGUUUUACCGUUUUUACCGGUUUUUACCGGGUUUUUCCGGGUUUACGGGUUUACGGGUUACGGGUUACGGGUUACGGGUUACGGUUACGGUUUACGGUUUUUCGGUUUUUCGGUUUUUUCGGUUUUUACGGUUUUACGGUUUACGGUUACGGUACGUACGUACGUACGUACGUACGUACUACUCCUCCUCUCUCUCUCUCUCUCUCUCUCUCUCUCUCUCCUCCUCCUCCUCCUCCNCNGUUUUUUUUUUUUUUUUUCCAUUUUCUCUCUCUAUUUUUAUAUAGCUUUUUCCGACUCUGUUUUCCGGGUUGGGUGAGAGAAGGCUCGUGCUUUUGUUUUUUGGUUUCUCAGAGCGAGCCGAAAACUUGAAUUCGCUCUCUCCCCUCCUCUCUUGUACAAUCUCUCCAU